rnacentral:rRNA from 1 species
CGAACGCUGGCGGCAGGCCUAAUACAUGCAAGUCGAACGGCUCUUCGGAGCAGUGGCGGACGGGUGAGUAACGCGUGGGAAUGUGCCCUUAGGUACGGAACAACACAGGGAAACUUGUGCUAAUACCGUAUGUGCCCUUCGGGGGAAAGAUUUAUCGCCUUUGGAGCAGCCCGCGUUGGAUUAGGUAGUUGGUGAGGUAAAGGCUCACCAAGCCGACGAUCCAUAGCUGGUCUGAGAGGAUGACCAGCCACACUGGGACUGAGACACGGCCCAGACUCCUACGGGAGGCAGCAGUAGGGAAUCGUGCGCAAUGGGCGAAAGCCUGACGCAGCCAUGCCGCGUGUAUGAUGAAGGUCUUAGGAUUGUAAAAUACUUUCACCGGGGAAGAGUAAGGACGGUACCCUCGGAGGAAGCCUCGGCUAACUACGUGCCAGCAGCCGCCGUAAGAC